rnacentral:rRNA from 1 species
GACAGAUGGGAGCUUGCUCCCUGAUGUUAGCGGCGGACGGGUGAGUAACACGUGGGUAACCUGCCUGUAAGACUGGGAUAACUCCGGGAAACCGGGGCUAAUACCGGAUGCUUGUUUGAACCGCAUGGUUCAAACAUAAAAGGUGGCUUCGGCUACCACUUACAGAUGGACCCGCGGCGCAUUAGCUAGUUGGUGAGGUAAUGGCUCACCAAGGCAACGAUGCGUAGCCGACCUGAGAGGGUGAUCGGCCACACUGGGACUGAGACACGGCCCAGACUCCUACGGGAGGCAGCAGUAGGGAAUCUUCCGCAAUGGACGAAAGUCUGACGGAGCAACGCCGCGUGAGUGAUGAAGGUUUUCGGAUCGUAAAGCUCUGUUGUUAGGGAAGAACAAGUGCCGUUCAAAUAGGGCGGCACCUUGACGGUACCUAACCAGAAAGCCACGGCUAACUACGUGCCAGCAGCCGCGGUAAUACGUAGGUGGCAAGCGUUGUCCGGAAUUAUUGGGCGUAAAGGGCUCGCAGGCGGUUUCUUAAGUCUGAUGUGAAAGCCCCCGGCUCAACCGGGGAGGGUCAUUGGAAACUGGGGAACUUGAGUGCAGAAGAGGAGAGUGGAAUUCCACGUGUAGCGGUGAAAUGCGUAGAGAUGUGGAGGAACACCAGUGGCGAAGGCGACUCUCUGGUCUGUAACUGACGCUGAGGAGCGAAAGCGUGGGGAGCGAACAGGAUUAGAUACCCUGGUAGUCCACGCCGUAAACGAUGAGUGCUAAGUGUUAGGGGGGUUUCCGCCCCUUAGUGCUGCAGCUAACGCAUUAAGCACUCCGCCUGGGGAGUACGGUCGCAAGACUGAAACUCAAAGGAAUUGACGGGGGCCCGCACAAGCGGUGGAGCAUGUGGUUUAA